rnacentral:ncRNA from 2 species
AAUACAGCCUCGUUCGCCGGUGCCCAACGGGCCUAACAGGGAACGCAGGGCGUGGCUUGCCGCGCCGCUGCGGCUGCCCCCGCAACUGCGCGCAGCGAGUGCGCCGCCCGUCGAUGCCACGGCAUGCCUGCCGGAAGGCGCGCGGCGGCAACCCGCUGCGCACCAGCAGACCUGCCGGCGCGAUGAACGUGCC